rnacentral:rRNA from 1 species
CAGUCAUAUGCUUGUCUCAAAGACUAAGCCAUGCAUGUCUAAGUACAGGCCUACCUAAGGCGAAACCGCAAAUGGCUCAUUAAAUCAGUCUUAAAUCCAUUGGGUUUUGACCAAAACUGACUCGGAUAACCGUGGCAAUUCUAGAGCUAAUACGUGCAAUUAAGUUCCGACCUCGUCGCUACAAAAGUGUAGAGGAAGGGGCGCAUUUAUUAGAAUCAUAAACCGAGCGAGCUUCGGCUCGACUCAUUGAGUUUUUGAUGACUCUGGAUAACUAAGCCGAGCGCUGAGGCCUUCGAGCCGGCGCCGUACCCACCGAGUGUCUGCCUUAUCAGCUUUAGACUGUAGGCUAUUCGCCUACAUUGGCUGUCACGGGUGACGGGGAAUCAGGGUUCGAUUCCGGAGAGGGAGCCUGAGAAACGGCUACCACAUCUAAGGAAGGCAGCAGGCACGCAAAUUACCCCAUCCCAGUUUGGGGAGGUAGUGACGAUAAAUAACGAUGCGUGACCGUUCCGAGGCCUCGCAAUCGGAAUGAGUCCAAUCUAAACAUGUGGACGAUAAGCCAUUGGAGGGCAAGUCUGGUGC